CAUAUAAGAAGUGCAUAUGAGUGGGAUAUGCUGUUGCAGCCAGUUUUUAGAACAUAUAACUCUCCACAAAGCUUUCCAGAGAUUUUGGAUCCAGUAGACUUGUCACAGUUGCCCUUUGACCUUCCAGAGUCUCUAGUUUCACCAGUCAGUAGAAUGUUGAUUGCCUGGAGGUAGAGAUGGUGAAGGCUUCAAAGCGAUCACUGAUAAGAAAAGAUCCAGACUACGGUAGAAGAAAGGAAGGUACUCAGAUCUGAUGAGAGGCAAGGAAGAUUUGAUGGAAGAUAUCCAAACACACAAUGUUAAAAAUUUCUCAGCGUACCUUAAACUGUCCAUGGGUUCAGAGAGUGAAAUGGUAAUUUUAGUAAAGAAAAAAAUGAGGGAAAGGUGGAAUGGGCAU